rnacentral:lncRNA from 1 species
CCUUUUUUAUUAUUUAUAUUUUUAGCUGAAAAGACAUAAAGGCAGUCAGCCCAGUGGUGUUUCUGGAGAGGGAUUCCUUCAGAAAUGGAGAAGACAGAAAGCUGCGGAGGCAGAUAUUUGCAGCAGUCUAAAAUAUCAAGCUCAACAGCUCACUCAAGAGCCAACCCUCACAAACCUUCCUAAAAACUAAAAGAGCUAUUACUGAGUCUCAGCGAAUCUUGCCAUGAUCAGCUCUUCCCAGAAGAGAAGGAAGACCAAGGAAAUUAUUUGCUCAGGAUGAGAAAUGAAGACGGCCAUCUUGUGCUCAAACAAACAGAAGUCCUUUGAUGAUCUCAUCAGCCAAAUGAGGGGUUUUGACCAAGUGAUGCUCUUGAAAGGAGAGAAAGAAGAGGAUGUUGUAAAUUCUCUUCAGAGAAAAAGCUUCUCAAAAGGUCUUAAAGCAGCUUGAAGAAUGGUAAGUGUACAGUACUACAAGGGUCAUAGUUACUCACCCUGCUAAAACCACACAGAACAUAAGCUGCGCUCUCUGUCCAUUAAACAACUUCUUCUGCAUUGUGUGUU